AGUAUUUCUUUCGACAAUUUUUAUUUGAUUGCAACCAAAUUUUCAGGAAUAAUAACUUUUAGAACUAUAGUAAUUAUUGUAGUAUAUACAAAACUGCUCUAGCUGUAAAAUUACGAGUUUCAAGAAUCUAUAUACUUUAUGGGGUCGGAGACGACUUCUUCUGCCUCUUACAUACAUUUCCUACAAGCACAAAGUUAUACCCUAUGGGUAACGGAAAAAAAAUAGAAAAAAUUGUAAAACCCAAAAACUGAUUAAACGCUUAUGUAGUAAUGUUUCAGUAUUAUGAGUGGGCAAUAUACAAAAAGUCCCGUGAUUAUAUAUUCUAUAGUGAUGAAAUAAUAAGACUGACUGCUAUCGAUCGCAGAUGUCUGUAACUUUUAGGUGAACAUGUUCAGAAAUUGAAGUAUUCCGAUUCAGAUGUUUUGGCUUGAUGUUUUGGUGUUGUCGGGAAUAUAUCGAAAAAGCAAUAUAUUUCGCAAGUUUCACAAAUUUUAGAGUGACCGUUUUUGGAAACCUUUAUGACCCUAAAUUUGGCACGGAAAUUAUAAAAACAAACAUUUUAUGGGCACACCGCUCAAACAUUUUCCUAUUAAACAAUUAAAUUGUUCAAAAAAACAGAUGAAAUCACAAUCAUUGCCUAUUUCUAUGAAUAACAGGACGUUCGCUGGCUUUUAGUUAAAAAGUCAGGUAAAAGUCGGUCUGCAGUUCUGUCGUCUGUAUUUUGGGAUCAUCAACAGCGACUAUGAAAUAACGGUAUUAGUUAAUGACCGACAUCUUCGAUAAACGGACACAUUUCAAGAAAAAGAAAGGGUUAAGCCACGGUCACAAGUCCGUAAAAAGGAUAGCAAAUACUCUUGAAUUGGGCUUUGAAUGACUUAUUCUCAAGAUCUGGCCCCUAGCGAACUUUCGCUAUAAUCAAUGUAUUACUCUAUAAGGCAAUAAUUCAAAUAACUGGUUUAAAAGAUGCUAAUUUAUGUGUCUAUUAAUUCAAUUAUUCCUUUUAAUGUAUCAAAUUUUUAAUAUAAAUAUACAAAUAUAGAGCAAAUCCAGCUUCUACGAACACUCCUCCUGGCUUUUCCGAACACAGCGGGCCACUUUCCGUUUGAAAUCAGUGUAAGAUUCUCUCCACUCCUUGGCUGCAUCAACAUUUGCUGGAGACUCAUCGUUAGGAUCUGCAAGCAUUGAUAUCACGGAUAUCAAGAUAGUUUCCACUGUGUGAACCGGCAACCAACGUUCUGAUGCUUUUUCAUAACCCCAUUUGUCAUCUCCAGGCUCAUGCAAAAUUGAUAUGCAAACAUCUCCAUUUUUCUCAAUAUUUGGAUGCCAUAUUUCUGUGACAAAUUUCAUACGUGGUGGACGCAAUGGAUACUCUUUCGGAAAAUACAAA